GAGUUUGAUCCUAGCUCAGGAUGAACGCUGGCGGCGUGGAUAAGGCAUGCAAGUCAAGGGGCCCGCAAGGGCACCGGCAGACGAGGUAGUAAUACAGGAAUAGCCAUCCGAAAGGGUGGGUAAUACUUGAUGGUCUGCGCAUCUCACAAAGGUUCGAUGCUAACACGACACCAAUCCACGAAUGAAAACGAAUGUACAAAUGAAGAAUUUUAUUCGUGUCAUUCGCAUGAAUUCGUAUAUUAGUGUCGCAUAGCACCGAGGUUUUGCGAGGUGCGUAGUAAAGAUUUAUCGCUUCUAGAUCGGCCUGCUCGGUAUCAGCUAGUUGGCAGUGUAAAAGACUACCAAGGCUAUGACGCCUAGGGGAGGUGAGAGCCUGACCCCCACCGAUGGAACUGAGAUACGGUCCAUACACCUACGGGUGGCUGCAGCCGAGAAUAUUCGACAAUGGGCGAAAGCCUGAUCGAGCGACGCCGCGUGGAGGAUGAAGUCCUUCGGGAUGUAAACUCCUUUUGUAGUCCAGAAAGUUUAUUGAUCGGACUAAGAAUAAGAGGUUGCUAAACUCGUGAACUGUUUAGCUAUAUGCUGGAAAGCUGUUGAGAGCUGCGUCCGUCUUAAACAAGACGAGAUACUUAACAGUCAAUC
rnacentral:ncRNA from 1 species